CGAACAGACGAGGAGCUUGCUCCUCUGACGUUAGCGGCGGACGGGUGAGUAACACGUGGAUAACCUACCUAUAAGACUGGGAUAACUUCGGGAAACCGGAGCUAAUACCGGAUAAUAUAUUGAACCGCAUGGUUCAAUAGUGAAAGACGGUUUUGCUGUCACUUAUAGAUGGAUCCGCGCCGCAUUAGCUAGUUGGUAAGGUAACGGCUUACCAAGGCGACGAUGCGUAGCCGACCUGAGAGGGUGAUCGGCCACACUGGAACUGAGACACGGUCCAGACUCCUACGGGAGGCAGCAGUAGGGAAUCUUCCGCAAUGGGCGAAAGCCUGACGGAGCAACGCCGCGUGAGUGAUGAAGGUCUUCGGAUCGUAAAACUCUGUUAUUAGGGAAGAACAAAUGUGUAAGUAACUAUGCACGUCUUGACGGUACCUAAUCAGAAAGCCACGGCUAACUACGUGCCAGCAGCCGCGGUAAUACGUAGGUGGCAAGCGUUAUCCGGAAUUAUUGGGCGUAAAGCGCGCGUAGGCGGUUUUUUAAGUCUGAUGUGAAAGCCCACGGCUCAACCGUGGAGGGUCAUUGGAAACUGGAAAACUUGAGUGCAGAAGAGGAAAGUGGGAUUCCAUGUGUAGCGGUGAAAUGCGCAGAGAUAUGGAGGAACACCAGUGGCGAAGGCGACUUUCUGGUCUGUAACUGACGCUGAUGUGCGAAAGCGUGGGGAUCAAACAGGAUUAGAUACCCUGGUAGUCCACGCCGUAAACGAUGAGUGCCAAGUGUUAGGGGGUUUCCGCCCCUUAGUGCUGCAGCUAACGCAUUAAGCACUCCGCCUGGGGAGUACGACCGCAAGGU
rnacentral:rRNA from 1 species